GAACGCUGGCGGUGCGCCUUAUGCAUGCAAGUCGAGCGAAGCUUUUCAGUAGUUUACUACAGAAAAUGACUGAGCGGCGAACGGGUGAGUAACGCGUGAGCAAUCUACCUUAGUUACAGGGAUAGCCCGAGGAAACUCGGAUUAAUACCUGAUAUUCUUUACAUUUCGCAUGAAAUCAAAAGGAAAGGUCAGCCGAACUAAGAUGAGCUCGCGUUCUAUCAGCUAGUUGGUGAGGUAAAAGCUCACCAAGGCAACGACGGAUAGCUGGUCUGAGAGGACGAUCAGCCACACUGGGACUGAGACACGGCCCAGACUCCUACGGGAGGCUGCAGCAGGGAAUAUUGCGCAAUGAGCGAAAGCUUGACGCAGCGACACCGCGUGUGGGAUGACGGAUCUAGGUUUGUAAACCACUUUCAGGAGGGAAGAAAAUGACGGUACCUCCACAAGAAGCCCCGGCCAACUACG
rnacentral:rRNA from 1 species